AUCUAUCCAUGAUGUAGUUUAAUAGUUGCUGAUUUCCUGUGAUUAUCACAAAUAAAUUCACCAUCUUUCGACUGAGAUUGAU